rnacentral:rRNA from 1 species
GACGAACGCUGGCGGCGUGCUUAACACAUGCAAGUCGAACGGAAAGGCCCUGCUUUUGUGGGGUGCUCGAGUGGCGAACGGGUGAGUAACACGUGAGUAACCUGCCCUUGACUUUGGGAUAACUUCAGGAAACUGGGGCUAAUACCGGAUAGGAGCUCCUGCUGCAUGGUGGGGGUUGGAAAGUUUCGGCGGUUGGGGAUGGACUCGCGGCUUAUCAGCUUGUUUGUGGGGUAGUGGCUUACCAAGGCUUUGACGGGUAGCCGGCCUGAGAGGGUGACCGGCCACAUUGGGACUGAGAUACGGCCCAGACUCCUACGGGAGGCAGCAGUGGGGAAUAUUGCACAAUGGGCGGAAGCCUGAUGCAGCAACGCCGCGUGCGGGAUGACGGCCUUCGGGUUGUAAACCGCUUUCGCCUGUGACGAAGCGUGGGUGACGGUAAUGGGUAAAGAAGCACCGGCUAACUACGUG